CGCUACUUCGGCAAGAUGAGCUUGCUUGGGACGGGGCUUCAGCCUCGGCCUCGACCCGCGUCAGGUGAAGGCUGCGGCACGCGUCCCCUCCUCCGCCUCCAGUCUCCGCCCAACUCAAAACCCUAGCAACCGCGCCUCCAUCCCUACCCGAAUUCCAAUCCAGGUCCGAUCCCCCGGUGGCGAGGACACCCGGCGCCGAUUCGUCCCCGCAGAUCGACCGGGCAGGACAUAUUUGGGUUCGGGGUCCGCUCGAGUCGCCUCGCCGGGGUCCACCGCGGCGGUCAGGGGGUAUGGUGGGCGGCGGGAGGCGGGGCGGAGCGGCGGAGGAGGUCAAGCUUUACACCGGCAACGUGUUCGCGGCGCUCGAGUCCCUCAAGAAGAAGAAGAAGAAGGGUGACAAAGGCAAGGCGGUCGGGAGGAGGACGGCGAGGGGGCCGCUGAACCCUGGGCAAACAGGCGAGCGAGUACGCCGACUGCGAGGAGUAAACUUGUGUCAUCUCGCGCGGGGCCAACCCGAGGACCACGCACAUCCUCGCCGGCGAGACGGUGGAGGUGCGCAGGGGAGACGUAGGUGGUGGCUGCACGAAGGUGGUUUUCAGCAUUGAGCCGUUGGCAUUGAGCGACCGGCAGCAGCCCGCGUCUUCGUCUUCGUCGCCGGCGGCACCCGCCAGAGUCGUCGUGUCCGGUCGUUGCUGCUGCUGCAUGAAGAGGCUGCUGGAGGACCGGGACAUCUUCAUCUACCUGGGCAAGAAGGCCUUCUGCAGCGACGAGUGCAGGAACGGGUUCACUAUGGACCGUUUGGCUCGAAUUGUCUUGAGCCCAAGGAAAUCUGGGCCUUUUUAAUCGUCGUCACCUAGCUCGCGGAUGGUCCGCACACAGUUUCCACCGUCAGUAUCGCAUUGGAGUGAAACAACACCCAUCCUUGCCACCGAUUAGGAACUUAGGAAUGGACUCGCCGGUGCCUGCUACGCUCGCCCGCGCGCCAGCGAGAUCGCAAGCGCGGGCGGGCGAGGAGGCUUGCGCGGAUACUCGGCAGGAUGCUCCGGCGGAAGCGGAGCCACCUCCCCGUCGGCCACCCGCGUUCUACAGCUCCGUGUUUGCGUAGAUCGAAGAGAUCGGGUGGAAGCAGCUGGUGAGCGCCACAGGAGACGGAGUGUCCUGUCUCACCUUCCGCGUCGUGGAUGAACCAGGACAGAUGCAUUUACUGGAGAUCACACUGCCCAUGGGCUAUCCCGAAAGUCCUCCUUCAAUCUCUGCAGUUAGUCUCUAUCCUGAUAUUUUUAUUAUACUUUGCCAGGGAUGAACUAGGCAUGUUUUUGAUUAUAGCCCAUAUGUAGCCGCCAGGGAUGAACUAGGCCUGUUUUUAUUAUACUUUGCAGUUGCAUGAAAUUUCAGAACCAUAACCAUAUGGGCUAUAAUUGAACUUGUCUCAUUAACAGGACGUACCAUAUCUCCCAAAAAUACAUUGGUCAAAAAACUCAAGACUGAAAGAUGUUAUUUGCCAUGUCUCAUUAACAGGACGUACCAUAUACUCACAUAUUUCCUGCAUUGCAUUGUACACAUUUUCUUAUAUAUUAACGAGUGCAGGAACGAGUUCAUCGAGGAGGCGGCGGAGGAGGAGCUCAUGAUUCUAGAUCCUGCUCGAAAUCUUUGAUCAAGAUUUGUUAGUUGUCGUGGCAAAAGUAGAGAGUGUAAUAUUUGCCCGCAAUAUUUUGCUUCUACCUUCAACUUGGGGACUACUUGGCUGGGAGAGUGAGUGGGGGAAGGACAAAGGAAAUGCCUCUCAUUCAAGUUUUUUGCUGUAAGGAGAGGUCGUCCCGGUUUGGCCAACCAGUGCAAUGGUCGAGCCAGCCAAUUUCCGUGGUUUGUUGAGCUCCAUUUUGGCUACUGUCAUAUUAGCUCUUCGGCAUCAAUUUCCGGGAGGAGGAUGGCGAGGGGGCCGCGCAGCGGCAAGAGCCACCGCAGAAGGAGCUAUUCUCAGCCUUCUCAGCCUUUUCCAGUUUAUUUUAUUUUUUAUUUAGUAGCAUUUCGUUAAUUCCAGUUCUAUUUGUUACAAUGAUUCCAGUUCGUUCUUGUAGCAAUAGCUGGCUCUGGCUGAAUUUUAUGAUCUAUCAAUUUAAUGUCAUCAUCAUGAUUAAUGUGGACUUAUCUAGACUGUUUUUGGAUAGAGUAGUAGUUAGUGAUUUCUGAUCCGACUAUUGUCGCUGCAAUCUUUCAUGUUCUUUUUAUGUAGUCUCACUUUGCUCCUUUUUCAUUAAUGGUUUAUUCGUGGACAUUUUCAACUUCUACCAUCAAACCUUCUGAUGUUGGUACUUUGUGUUCUAUUCAAUUAUUUUACCCAUAAAAGAACUUGGGAUUAUUUUAUACCUUUUAUCUCUACUACUACUUAAGUGUCUAUUGUAGGCGUCCACAAAGGCGGAUGGUGCACGGUUCUGCCGGUUCCGCAUCCCGCCAGAUUGGGACGAAUUCGGCAUCGGCUCCACCAAAGGCUCCACGGAUUUGGCAUCAGCUCCACAGAUUUUCGAUACUGGGUAACAGAAAUGCAUGUUUAUGGUGUUCGUUUUGACCUUGCAUUACAUCUACAAUGACCAGAGGAUGCAGAACGCCACUGCAGCACCGAUGGAAUUGUACGGUGUCAUCAGGCUCGACUAAAUCUAGAUGGGAUGGACUCUACUUGUGUUGAAGGAAAGGAAGUAUGUGCUUGGCUUGCGAGGAGGGGGCAUAUUUCUGUUCAACUUUUCUUACGGGUCAUGUUACUUGUCAUCUCAGAUUACACAACUUUAGGU